rfam:Camelus ferus unplaced genomic scaffold scaffold117, whole genome shotgun sequence.
GAGGGUACAGCUCAGUGGUAGAGCAUGUGCUUAGCAUGCACAACGUCAUGGGUUCAAUCCCCAGUACCUCCA